rnacentral:rRNA from 1 species
ACUUAUAUUCUGUAGCAAGGUUAACCGAAUAGGGGAGCCGGAGGGAAACCGAGUCUUAAUUGGGCGUUAAGUUGCAGGGUAUAGACCCGAAACCCGGUGAUCUAGCCAUGGGCAGGUUGAAGGUUGGGUAACACUAACUGGAGGACCGAACCGACUAAUGUUGAAAAAUUAGCGGAUGACCUGUGGCUGGGGGUGAAAGGCCAAUCAAACCGGGAGAUAGCUGGUUCUCCCCGAAAGCUAUUUAGGUAGCGCCUCGUGAAUUCAUCUCCGGGGGUAGAGCACUGUUUCGGCUAGGGGGCCAUCCCGGCUUACCAACCCGAUGCAAACUGCGAAUACCGGAGAAUGUUAUCACGGGAGACACACGGCGGGUGCUAACGUCCGUCGUGAAGAGGGAAACAACCCAGACCGCCAGCUAAGGUCCCAAAGUCAUGGUUAAGUGGGAAACGAUGUGGGAAGGCCCAGACAGCCAGGAUGUUGGCUUAGAAGCAGCCAUCAUUUAAAGAAAGCGUAAUAGCUCACUGGUCGAGUCGGCCUGCGCGGAAGAUGUAACGGGGCUAAACCAUGCACCGAAGCUGCGGCAGCGACGCUUAUGCGUUGUUGGGUAGGGGAGCGUUCUGUAAGCCUGCGAAGGUGGCCUGUGAGGGUUGCUGGAGGUAUCAGAAGUGCGAAUGCUGACAUAAGUAACGAUAAAGCGGGUGAAAAGCCCGCUCGCCGGAAGACCAAGGGUUCCUGUCCAACGUUAAUCGGGGCAGGGUGAGUCGACCCCUAAGGCGAGGCCGAAAGGCGUAGUCGAUGGGAAACGGGUUAAUAUUCCCGUACUUGGUGUUACUGCGAAGGGGGGACGGAGAAGGCUAUGUUGGCCGGGCGACGGUUGUCCCGGUUUAAGCGUGUAGGCUGGUUUUCCAGGCAAAUCCGGAAAAUCAAGGCUGAGGCGUGAUGACGAGGCACUACGGUGCUGAAGCAACAAAUGCCCUGCUUCCAGGAAAAGCCUCUAAGCAUCAGGUAACAUCAAAUCGUACCCCAAACCGACACAGGUGGUCAGGUAGAGAAUACCAAGGCGCUUGAGAGAACUCGGGUGAAGGAACUAGGCAAAAUGGUGCCGUAACUUCGGGAGAAGGCACGCUGACACGUAGGUGAAGUGAUUUACUCACGGAGCUGAAGUCAGUCGAAGAUACCAGCUGGCUGCAACUGUUUAUUAAAAACACAGCACUGUGCAAACACGAAAGUGGACGUAUACGGUGUGACGCCUGCCCGGUGCCGGAAGGUUAAUUGAUGGGGUCAGCGCAAGCGAAGCUCCUGAUCGAAGCCCCGGUAAACGGCGGCCGUAACUAUAACGGUCCUAAGGUAGCGAAAUUCCUUGUCGGGUAAGUUCCGACCUGCACGAAUGGCGUAAUGAUGGCCAGGCUGUCUCCACCCGAGACUCAGUGAAAUUGAACUCGCUGUGAAGAUGCAGUGUACCCGCGGCAAGACGGAAAGACCCCGUGAACCUUUACUAUAGCUUGACACUGAACAUUGAGCCUUGAUGUGUAG